GCGCCUCUUGCUGGGAGCUCCAAGGGCUCAGAAGGCCUUCACCUCCUGUCUCCCAACUCACUGUCACUGUUGUGUUGUUCCAGGAGUCAAUCUCUCAACUCUGUGUGCAAACCUGACCUCCCCUCCUUGGACACAGCCUUCAUUUUCCAGUCCUGAGUCAUCUCCGGGAACCUUCUGUCCAGGCCACCAGCCAGCUGUCUCCCCAGACUCCAAGAUUGCUCAGAAGUUCCAAAGAGAAACUUUGCAACUGUGGAGCAGAGAAUCCAGACGACCCCUUGACUGCAUUCAAAACUGACUAAGAGCUGAUGGACGUUAUGUGAUCUCGGACCAGACAGCAUGAUGGGACAUUUGUGAGAACACAGUAUGUAAGUGAAGCAGAGAAGUGUUAGAUGAAACAUAUUAUCUGUAUUGUUCAAAACACCAUUGUUAUGCCAAGGAAAUAUCCCAGAUUUAAAAAGACCAAAGACACAAGAUAGGGAAAUGAGAUAUGGCAUCCUAGACUGAAUCCCAGGGAAAUGGACAACACUGGAAUGUUGGUUUUGUUUUAGUUAGAAUUUUAUGCCUAUGAUAAAUUUCCUGAAUGUGUGAACUCUAUUAUAAUUAUAUAGAAAAUAUUCUCCUUUUAGGAAAUACUGAUGGAUUAAUGGGUUAAGGGCAAUAAUGAAUAAUAGUAGAAAGAAUACUGGUAGGAAAAAAUGCAUAUCUAUAGAGAAAGAAAGAAUGAUUAAAUAAUGCAGCAAAAAUAUUGGAGACUGGUUGAGCUAGAGGAAAGAAAAUACCAUAUUUCUCAGUACAAUUCUUGCAAUUUUUAAAUAAAUU
rnacentral:lncRNA from 1 species